UACGUAGGGGGCUAGCGUUGUCCGGAAUCAUUGGGCGUAAAGCGCGUGUAGGCGGUUUGGUAAGUCCGCUGUGAAAGUCGGGGGCUCAACCCUCGAAUGCCGGUGGAUACUGUCGAACUAGAGUGCGGAAGAGGCGAGUGGAAUUCCUGGUGUAGCGGUGAAAUGCGCAGAUAUCAGGAGGAACACCAAUUGCGAAGGCAGCUCGCUGGGACGUAACUGACGCUGAGACGCGAAAGCGUGGGGAGCGAACAGG
rnacentral:rRNA from 1 species